CAGCCGCCGCGGUAAUACGUAGGUGGCAAGCGUUGUCCGGAAUUAUUGGGCGUAAAGCGUGCGCAGGCGGUUAUAUAAGUCAGAUGUGAAAUCCCCGGGCUCAACCUGGGAACUGCAUUUGAGACUGUAUGGCUAGAGUGUGUCAGAGGGGGGUAGAAUUCCACGUGUAGCAGUGAAAUGCGUAGAUAUGUGGAGGAAUACCGAUGGCGAAGGCAGCCCCCUGGGAUAACACUGACGCUCAUGCACGAGAGCGUGGGGAGCAAACAGGAUUAGAUACCCCGGUAGUCCCUGUCUCUUAUAC
rnacentral:rRNA from 1 species